CAACAUGAUGCCCUCGAAAUGUGUUAUUCCAGUAAUGUAUCAUGUUGACGAAAACUGGACUGUACCAAGAUCAUGACUUGAUCUUCGUACACAUAUUUUUGAAAACCUAGAACAUGUGAAAAAUGAGAAAAGGGCUGCAAACAACAACUUCUUCUUUUUUUAAUCUAAUGAGAUUGCAUGGCAAUGGCUAUUACUUCUUGUUUGUUUGCCUUUCUUUUUUCAGACUGAUACCACCCUAGAAACGAACAUGAGGUCUGCUUUCUUUUUCCCAGGCAGGGAAGGCAACAGCUUGAACCAAGUUUCAGAUUUGUCAUAACAACCAUAAUAAUUAAAAAUUGAUGCCAUGACAUGAAGUGGAAAGUGGGAAACAAACUGGGGUCAGAAUCAGCAGACCCAAGAUCAAUGGAUGAGAAGGGAGCCUGUCUGUGCUCUCAUCUGCAGGUAUGGCGUAGCAUUUUAAGCCCACUGGAAGGGUUCAGGAUCAAGCUGUGGAUCCCAGCGCAGGCUCAUCUGUGUUGUUAUCAUUCAGAGGUCUGAUAGCACCUCCUGCUCACCAUAUUCUAGAAGGACCAGGGAUGUUCAUGUCUUUGACCUGGGCAAGGCAUCUUAAGUAGACUCUGCAGAGGGACCUGUUGGCUGUAUUCCUGAGCAGAAGGAAGGUUAUAUAAAUCCAGAUGCUCUCAAUGGGACAACGAAGCUCAUCCCCCUGUAUUUCACAUCAGCAACAAGGCAUGACUGCCUGUAGAAGAACAUCAUUGCAAAGCAAAUUUAUAAUUUCAUUUCUUCCAAAUGUGCAAGAGCUGUUUCUUUUGCAUGGCUUAAGAGGACGCCCGAAGCAGCAUCUGUGAAAGAGAUAUUUAUUAUGAAACUGUUUGUAAAAGUCCUGAACGCCAUUCACUGAGCCCAGACAAACAGCUGAAAAUAUGGUUUGCCUUUGCAAACGUCAGUGUAUGACACGGAGAGCUGGCAGGCUGCCUGGUUUCUACUUAAAGGAUUGUCAUUCAGGGGAAAAUAAAUUUCUCUAACUAGACAAAAGUCAAUGUUUUCAUGUUUUACUGCAAUCAGACUGAUAUGGCUGAUAAUUUAAAGUCUCAAUGCUUAUAAUAUCUGUGGAUAAUCAGGUACCUCAAUCAAUCAUAACCACAAGAUUCCUCUAUUUUUCUAGUCUGUACAAAUAUGACUAAGAUAUUUAACAGUACAGAUAUCUCCCCCACCCCCACUAAUAUUUUAUGAUAUUUUAUUGAGCAAUGGAGAGCUUUUGCAUGUAUUAGUGCUGGAUCCAUUUAGAAACAGGCUUUUUGUAAAAUUACAGCAAUCCUGCGUGUAAUCAGAACUGCAAACCUUUCUUUUAGCAUUCUAUUCUAUUUUAAUUUAAUGUAUAUCUUCUAGUCUGCUCGCCUGUCAAGGAGAUGUGGAAAUGCGCUGGCAUUUCAGCUGAAGACAUCAUUAUGAGUGAGAAAAUGCUCAAGGCCUAUUUUCAAAGAGGGUGCUGAAAGACAUGCUUCCCUUCUUCGACUCCAGGGGAUGCUGAUAGCUCCCCUACCAGACAGGCAUUGUGGGGUCAAAGGCUAGCAAUGCUCUUACAUAUGUGUGUGCAUGCAUGCACCGGCAUGCCUGCAUGUGUGGGAAUGCUAGUAUAUAUAUAUUUGCAUCCUCUGGAUUAUACUGGUAUAUGGGUAAGAAAAAGAGAUGUAUUUCUUUUUUAAUGGAGGCAUCUUGCAGACAGAAAAGAAGAAAUUGACAACAAAGGAUCAUCAGCCUGCAACAGGAGAAUUCUGGGCAGCAAGAACACAUGGCAGAAGUGAUUUUAUUAUCUGACAGGCUGAGUUUCCUAAUCUUCCCUAUUGAUAUUGAUGGGAAGCUUCAUAUGGUUUUAGAGAUUGGUAUCUAUUAAGACAUGCUGCAGCGUUCCUACAACAUGGGAGCAGGUUUGCUGAAGAUCACUGUUCUACUUCCUCUGUGAUAAAAAUUGAUAUGAACUGUUUUAAACUGCUAGCAGAUAAUUACUCUCAACACUCAAUAAGGAAAGCUAUAUCUUUAGAGCCUUCCUUUAUCUUCCCCCCCAAAAAAACCCCCCACUCCCCCCCUUUUUGUUUCUUUGAUUACUUGGAGCCUUGUAAUCAAACUAAGCUUAGUUUCAGGACCCUUGGGGCAGUAUCUCUUAGUUCCCUGUCAAGCUGCGUUGCAAAACAAUCAAUCUUGCUGUUGCGCUCUCUUGGCGGAAGUGCCACGACAGGAAGAGUGCACAGCUUUGCUCUUGCCAUGAAGCCUCAAUGACAAAAGUUUUUAUAAGAAGCUGACUGUAUUUAGGGUUAUGAAUAUGCAAUGACUCUCAUUAGUAUUGAAGCACAGGAGCAGGGUCUGACAUCCCCCCUCCCACCACGUUGAGCUGCAGGAGAAUUGUCUAAUGAAUUGUCUUGCUCUUUCACUUGUGCAGGCUUUCCCCCCACCUCCUGUUGUGGCUCCCAGUUCCAAGGGGAGUUGCCCAGUUUAAGAAUACUAUUGACUGCAGAAAUUAAUUGCCAAGAACAGCUCUUGAUUUUGCUAAACAAUCUUGAGACAGUGUUUAAAUUGUCAAAACAGAAAACCAGUCAACUCUACAUGAGAAGCUCAACCUGAGGGAGGGAACCUAUGUGUCAAUUAAUUUGGACACACACUUUGGUUGUCUGCAUGCAUGUAGCAAGCAGGAUUGUGCAUAUAUCUGUUUCUAGAGGGAUCCUUCACACAUACACAUAUGCUGGGUGAAAUCAAGUCAUGGAUAUCUGGCAUUGUAUUCAUUGGGCACUCAGUAGAACAAAGAGGGUUGACAGAAAGGUCUCAAAAUGAAAGCUGUUCAAACAUUACAAAGCUAUUUUUGAACCCUUUGGGACUCUACUCACACACACUCUCCCUCCUUUUCAUCUUGGCCUCCACCCAACAUUAUGUGGUUUACACAUACUAUACCAGCUGACAUGAAUGCAAUGCUGAUAAUAAUGUUUCUAGCAACCAAUUAAGAUAUCUGCCUUGAUGUUUAGCAUGUGGGUAGCUGCAAAACAUGCACAGCUACAGGGCUCAGCUGGAAAAGAUAAAUGUUUCAGUUCUUAUUGUCGUUGUCUCCUCUUUUCAUGUUCUUCCUUACACUUCUGUCUUCUUCCUGUUCUUCUGCUCUCCUGAUCCUCUUUUUUUAACUUAAAUGGAAUUCUGUGCCCUUGCAGGUUGUAAACAUGGGAAGGAAUUCUAAAGAAGCAGGAGGGGAAAGGAUGUACAAACAGCAUUAAGAAUAUAGAUCAUGCAGAAAGAGGACAGCUUCGGACGUUUCUUAAUUCAUUGAAUAUGCGACGAAACCACUUCCCUUGGAAGAAGAAACAACUUGGUCCACUUUUGGGGGAGUGGGAGGGAGCAAAAUGGCACACACUUUGCUCAGAUGCAACUUAGUCUUUACUUAGGGGUUGUCUACAUUCUUCAGUGUCCUGAUUCUCGUUUCCACAGAAAGAGAGAGAGAGAGAGAGAAAGGGAUCACAUGCAUACAUGUAGGCUCCACAUAAGAUGGAAAUAUGAAACUGGAGACUGAAGGAGAUGGUUGGAGGGGUUAAGCAAAGAUCAUAUACACAUGUGUAAGUGCACUUUAAGAGAAGUUCUGACAAAUCAAAAGUAUUGCAAGUAUCAUACAUCAAACACUUGUUACCCCUUUUGGCCUUAACAGUUGCACAUGAGUAAGAACAAGUCAGUGAUAAAAUCUGAAGAAAGAUGAAACCAAUCUGGAGCUUUUUAAAGACCAUCAAUCAUCCAGUGCAACCAUGAUAUUAUUAGCCCAAAGUAAGCCUUGCUCUCCCAUUUAAUGGACAUCAUAAAACCUGAUCCUAUUCUUAUCCUGAGACCAGUCCUACUAUGGGAAAUCAUUUUUAUGGGCAAUAUCUGGGUAGGUAACCAAUCAGAUUUAAACACAUAACAAGGUACUGAAUUAUUCAACAUACUUUCUAAAUUGGCAUUAUAGUUGUUCUUUGAUGUCAGCCCAUACUUUAAAAAGUCUAUGGAUCUUUUUUCAAAAAACACAAAUAGUAUUAUACUAAGAUGACAAUGGAAUAUAGGGAAUUUGUAAUAAUCUGCAUGUCUAAUUAUUGUUGGUUUCCACUAAUAUCUACCACAUGUGAGAAUGACCAUGUAAGAAUAUUUGGUCCCUGCUUUUUUAUUUUUUAUUUAGGAAAAAAACCUACCUUGGCACUAAAGUCUAACCACUCCCAGCUGGAAAAAUAGCAGGUCCAAGGACAGGAAAGGGAAAAAUUGUUUUGGAAACACACAAUGUUCAAAUCCACAAUCCAGCUAAUAACUGGUAUGUCUCAGAGAUGUUAUUGUGAACCCCAGAACUGUAUUAUAUGAAAAUAUUUCAGUUUUAAUUGAAAAUCUAGGUAGAAAUGAUUUGGGGUCUAUAAUUAGCCCAUAAAUACCAGACUUUGUGACUUCUGUGAAAAUACACACUAUUUAUGGAACGAUUAACCAAAUGUAAUGCAGUGUUUCCCGCUUUCAGUGAAUACUGUAAGAUUUGAUUUAAUAAUGAAAGGAAUAGUUAUUUUAUGGAUUUCUCUCAGACCAUUCCACCUGCAACAUACUUCAGAGAGUGUUGUUUUAAACUUAGCUAUGAUUCCAAGUUUUUUUUCCCCAACAGCAUAAGAAUUAGAAAUUAAUUUCUGGAAGUGGCAAAGCAUUGUUUCCCAUGGAGCAAAGCUGCAAGUACAUCUGAAAACUUCAUUUUCAUCUUUGUACAAGUUUUACAUCUGGUAUUUCGUGUCUUGGCAAAAAAAAAAAGUGGUGGGAAAGGGCAAAAUAUAUGCUGCACUUUAAGGACUAACAUGUUGGUUUCCUUGGACACACAUGUCUGAGCCCUUGGGUUUUGAUCCAUAGGACUUUGUACAAGUUGUUCCACAAGCUGCUUGACUGUCUGUUCUUUUAGCUAUUGCAGAAACUGUUGCACAAGCUGUAACAUAAACAAAUGUGCAACCCAUUCCAACUUCACUGAUCUGGAUGUUUGUAUCCAUGACACUAGUUCUCCUGCCAGUGGUUGAGCAAGCUGAAGGGGAAAGAUCCUGCCUCGUGUGCUUUUUCUGUUGGAAUACUAUUGGGUACAACCAGUACAUUUUAAAUAACAUUAGGAUGUUAAAUAACGGCCAUGACAAAAAUCCAGGGAUAGAUAUCUACCAGCCAUCAGUCCCACAAUUUCUCUCUGUGUGAGCAUACAGGUGUGCCAGUGGAGUUCCAUUUGCAGAGUUGGAUUUUGCCCAAUGUUUUCAAGGAAUUAUUUCUGGGCUAUUGCUGGAAGCAACUGUAUUUGCUCCAUGGGACAAUUCUAUCAUCUUCCAUUGGAGGCAAUUAUAGAAGGUACCAUUCAGACCCAUGGACAGAUUGGAAUAUUUUGGAGUAAGUUUAUUCAGAGCAGCAUUAAAGACUACAGGUGCUUAUUUCUUCAGAACUUGGAGUAUUGUUUAUUCUAAGGGUGAAAUCCUAGAUCCACUUACCUUAGAGUAAGCCCAAUUCAGUUCGAUAAGGCUGAGUUCUGAGUACAUAUAUGAGAGAUUGUUCUAUUACUUGCACUUUCUUCCCAUUGCAGCCAAUGGGGAAAGGUAGUCAUAGUCAAUAGACCUAUUGAUUUGGUGGGCAGAAUACCACCACCACCACUACCACCACCACCAUCAUUUUAAAACUUCAGAGCUAGAAGGUAUACUAUGGAUCACUGGGUUUAGCCCUGUCAAGGAGGCACAGUGCAGAAUCACUCCUAAUAUUUGCCUCUGCAGCCAGAUACUUAGAGCACUGAGCUAUCCAGGAGUUCUGGAUAGUUUAAUAACUGAUAUAGAAUAAUUAACAUAGGCUUAAUCCACAUAUUUUGGAAGCAGUGUAUACACUAUAUUUCCUCACAAGAUAUUCAUUUUUUCCUUCUAUGAGAAAUCAUUCUGAAAUAGUUGCACAGAUGGUCGUGCAUGCUCACCCUCAUUUCUAUAUACCUGCUACUGUAUGAAGUUGGCUACUUAAAACUCAACCAGUGAUUGUUACAUCAUAUUUUCUACAUGCGGUAACUAUUUAAUAUAACAGAGCUUAUGCUAUCACCUUGGUCUGUAUGCAAUGGUGUGUCAGCUCCAUGUUUUUGGGUCCCUCCAAGCUCCCACAGAUCUGCUCCAGAGCUUUGGGAUAUCUUCUACAUCAUAUCUGGGUCACAUCCAAUCAUGUAUGCACCUACCACUGCAACUUCAAGUGGGGCAAUCUGGAACUCCCAACCUCUGGCUCCACAGCUAGACACCUAAACCGCCGAGCUAUCCAGCUGAAUGAAUACACUGGUCUUCACUGUGGAUUGGAGAGUCAUUUGCUGCAGAGCUGUGUUGCACAUUAGGAUCCCUUCCAUCUCGGCAGUUCUAAGAUGAAGAUGAUGAUUAUAAAAUACAAGACAUGGUCUUUGGCUGGUAUUAUAUAAUAUACACAUUUUAACCAAAACCCUAAACAUCAGUUAAAUAUUGGUUUAAUGUGUAUGCUUUUCUUAACAUUGUCAUUUUUGCAGCUCUGUUAUUUCAGAGACCUGCAGCUGAUUAUAAUAUUUUAUACAAUUCUGUGGCAUUGUUUCCAAUGCCCCAAUGACUAUGAGGACCACUGAAAUGUGUUUCAUCCACAAGUGAGUUAUUCCUAUUAGCAGGUCUCCGCAAUGUCAAUUAUCCAGACAUUUCUGCAUUCUGUUAUGCCUAGUGCAUUAUGCUCAAAGUUUUAGCAUUUGAUUUAGUUGAUUAAUUUUCAACUAAACUUGAAAAUUAGCAUAAUUGCUACAGGUAAUGAGUAACAAAAACAAACAAACCACAAAGUAAAACCACAGCAUUAAGGCAUUUUUAAGACUAACAAGUUGAUUUUAAUAUGAGUUCAAAAGUUCAUUACUUGUGUUAAUUAUGUUACCCCCACCAUAGGUUAUGUAUACCAACUUCUUCUCAUUCCUUUUCUCAGAAAUUGGCUGUUCUGUCUUUGAAUACAGCAGUUCGAAAUAGUCAUACUGUGUUGUGUGUAAACCAGUUUGCUACAUUCUUCAGGUAAUAUCUUCGUCUUCUUCCUCCACUUCUUUUUCCAUUUUUUUCCUUGAAUGAUCUAAUAAUUUGUACUUUUCCCCUUAGACAUGACUGAAAUGUUCUUGCUUUCUGCAUUUUAUAUGUUUUAUGAUUUCUUGGUCUUAAUUUAUUUUCCUUAAUUUUCCUCAGUCUGUUACGCCUUCUCCUUCUCUCUUUGUUGGUCAUCUUCUCAGUCCAAGACGUUUUUAGCACCCUGCAAUAAAACCACCUUUCCAGUGCUUCUGUCUUUUAAAAAUAAUCGUCUGUGUCCAUGAUUCCAAUCUGUAAAAUAGAACUGAGAACACACACCACAGCAUUCUACAUACAUAGAACAGCAGUUAUGCUGGCACAAGAUACAAAAAGCAGGGAAUCGUUCUUGGGUACCGAUAUGUGACUGCAAGGGUUUUGUCUCUUAGAUCUUUGAGAAACAGGUGGCAGCUGCCCUUUUUCUCCACAGAGAUGUUCAGUGAUAGGGCAGUGGAGAAUUCCUGCAAGGGCGCACCUCCCAGCCCUGCAGUCAAUUUGGAGUUUAGUUGUGAAUUGUGAUAUCAAUGUCAUGGUGUGCAUGCUUUGAGAAAGUCGCUGUGAAGAAUAAUAGAGAGAUUCAGUGGAAAGCCACUGAAAGCUGUAAUUUAAGGUUUCGGGAGCCUCAAUGUUACGAUUACCAUUAAAAUUUACAGUGACAGAAGCCCAAUUACAUAUGGUUAUUUUCUUUUCUUAAAUCAAACCAUAUUUCUGCCGUACAUGAAAGAUUCAUUUCUUCCUACCAAUCACUGUCACGGGAGCCUAUCUUUGUCGCUUUGGGUGUCAGAAGAGAUGGGUUAGCCUUAUCCCUGUGACAAUGAAAGGAUCAAUGGGGGUAGCAAAAGCUGGGAGCCUCUUUGGAGCCCGCAAAGGAGACUGAUUUGCAUGAUAAUCAGCAGUGGAUCCGCUCAGUGCAAGCCUCUGCACUUAGAAGAGUGCAGCUGAACUUUAAUAGCAGCAGAGAAGCAGAAUCUAAGUGGGAACUUCUCCACUAACUCUGGGAAAAGCUGGCAGGUGAAAUGGUAAUGUGUCUCGCGGCAGCAGCAGCCCCUAACAGCCAGCUGGGAUCAAAGAUGCUCAGGUUUCACUUUGAGAAACCUGUUGAUUCAAAGUCAUUUGUUUAUGCAAUAAGCUGGGUUAGCAUAAGUAAGUGACCAGACAGACUGAUGAGCUGAUGUAAGCCCCUAUUAUAGUUACAACCCAUAAUUUCUAUCUUUGCCUUUAAGCAACAUCUUUUUUAUCUACACAGAAUCUCAUUUUCCACUCCCCUAUUCUGAUGCAAAGCUGAAUGUGCAUCAUCAUCAUCAUCAUCAUCAGACUAAAUUAGUGGACUCAGGGACAUGUCAGUCUUUUUUUUACUCCAUUAGCAUUUUAUAUUUCAUCUAAGGUUCCCAGGGCAAAAUAUAUGGUGUGUCCACUUCCCUCUUGGUUUAUUUGAGCCUCACAACAACCCUCUGAGAUCAGUUGGGUUGAGCAAUAGUGAAUGGCUUAAGAUCACUCAGUGAACUCAGUGGUUGAUUUUGAACUUGGGUCCCUUUCAUCUAAAUCCAGUCUUGGUGCUUUUUAAAUGUAUCUGUCUACCUUUUAAAACAAAAAGUAUGAGACAGAUUACAAAAAAGUCUAAGGCAAUACAGUAAUGACUGUCCAUACUUGCUUGGAUCUUAGCAUAUUAUUGAUCUUCUGAAAUGUAGUCAAUUUUUUCCUGAGAACUCAGAUGUAUGCAAUGGAACAGAAUAUCUGGACCAAUACAGUCCCAGAUACAAAGGCAAGUUAAAGCACAAUACAGAGUGAUAUUUAUAAGACUUGUCUAUGCCCUACAAAUCUUCCCGAGUUCCCCAGCUACCCAUUUCUCAGGGGACUUUCCAUGUUUACCUGGACUUUCUAAUGUCAUGACCUAGACUUUCCUUGAACAUUUAGAGCACCUGUACCUGCUGUUACCAUGACUAAACAAAAUCCCCCUUUUCUCAUAUGCUAUUUGUCACUCUUUGCCCUGCACCCAUGAGCUUUCAGUAACUUGCUUGUUGCCUCAGUACUAGUGGAGGUCAUGGAAAGUCAACCCAUGCAGAGCUUGUACAAGUACUCUAUACAAUCAAUUUUUUUCCUGGUCUAAGUGUUGUUAAAUCCAUGGCUGGAAAUCUCUUUUUUCCACACCAGGAAUUGGGCAAAAAGAGCACUGCCUAUCCUUAUCCUUUCACAGUUCUGGGGCUAUUUGCAAAUUGAGGGCUUUCUUCUAUUCACAGCAGUGGUCCCUAACCAUGGGCCUCCAGAUGUUAUUGGACUACACCUCCCAGAAGCCUUCACCACCACCUCUGCU